rnacentral:rRNA from 1 species
AGUGAACGCUGGCGGUAGGCCUAACACAUGCAAGUCGAACGGCAGCACAGGAGAGCUUGCUCUCUGGGUGGCGAGUGGUGGACGGGUGAGGAAUACAUCGGAAUCUACUUUUUCGUGGGGGAUAACGUAGGGAAACUUACGCUAAUACCGCAUACGACCUACGGGUGAAAGCAGGGGAUCUUAGGACCUUGCGCGAUUGAAUGAGCCGAUGUCGGAUUAGCUGGUUGGCGGGGUAAAGGCCCACCAAGGCGACGAUCCGUAGCUGGUCUGAGAGGAUGAUCAGCCACACUGGAACUGAGACACGGUCCAGACUCCUACGGGAGGCAGCAGUGGGGAAUAUUGGACAAUGGGCGCAAGCCUGAUCCAGCCAUACCGCGUGGGUGAAGAAGGCCUUCGGGUUGUAAAGCCCUUUUGUUGGGAAAGAAAUCCAGCUGGUUAAUACCCGGUUGGGAUGACGGUACCCAAAGAAUAAGCACCGGCUAACUUCGUGCCAGCCGCCGCCGUAA